GUAGGGAAUCUUCCGCAAUGGACGAAAGUCUGACGGAGCGACGCCGCGUGAGCGAAGAAGGUCUUCGGAUCGUAAAGCUCUGUUGUUAGGGAAGAAGAAGUACCGUUCGAAUAGGGCGGUACGGUGACGGUACCUAACGAGAAAGCCCCGGCUAACUACGUGCCAGCAGCCGCGGUAAUACGUAGGGGGCGAGCGUUGUCCGGAAUUAUUGGGCGUAAAGCGCGCGCAGGCGGUCCCUUAAGUCUGAUGUGAAAGCCCACGGCUCAACCGUGGAGGGUCAUUGGAAACUGGGGGACUUGAGUGCAGAAGAGGAGAGCGGAAUUCCACGUGUAGCGGUGAAAUGCGUAGAGAUGUGGAGGAACACCAGUGGCGAAGGCGGCUCUCUGGUCUGUAACUGACGCUGAGGCGCGAAAGCGUGGGGAGCAAACAGGAUUAGAAACCCCAGUAGUCC
rnacentral:rRNA from 1 species